rnacentral:tRNA from 1 species
GGUUGUAUAGUGUAGCGGUGAGCACGUGGGAUUUUGAUGAGUAAUCAAAUAUUUCCCGAGUCCGUAAGUUAUUGAUCUGUUCUCGCUACUGUACCAUCAAAUCAUUGAUUCUAACAUACUCUAGUGGGUUCGAACCCCAGUACGACCU